rnacentral:rRNA from 1 species
CGCCCUUAGAGUUUGAUCCUGGCUCAGAUUGAACGCUGGCGGCAUGCCUUACACAUGCAAGUCGAACGGCAGCGCGGGGCAACCUGGCGGCGAGUGGCGAACGGGUGAGUAAUAUAUCGGAACGUACCCUGGAGUGGGGGAUAACGUAGCGAAAGUUACGCUAAUACCGCAUACGAUCUAAGGAUGAAAGUGGGGGAUCGCAAGACCUCAUGCUCCUGGAGCGGCCGAUAUCUGAUUAGCUAGUUGGUGAGGUAAAGGCUCACCAAGGCCACGAUCAGUAGCUGGUCUGAGAGGACGAUCAGCCACACUGGAACUGAGACACGGUCCAGACUCCUACGGGAGGCAGCAGUGGGGAAUUUUGGACAAUGGGCGCAAGCCUGAUCCAGCAAUGCCGCGUGAGUGAAGAAGGCCUUCGGGUUGUAAAGCUCUUUUGUCAGGGAAGAAACGGUAGGAGCUAAUAUCUCCUGCUAAUGACGGUACCUGAAGAAUAAGCACCGGCUAACUACGUGCCAGCAGCCGCGGUAAUACGUAGGGUGCAAGCGUUAAUCGGAAUUACUGGGCGUAAAGCGUGCGCAGGCGGUUUUGUAAGUCUGUCGUGAAAUCCCCGGGCUCAACCUGGGAAUUGCGAUGGAGACUGCAAGGCUAGAAUCUGGCA